UACGGGGGGAGCAAGCGUUGUUCGGAUUUACUGGGCGUAAAGGGCGCGUAGGCGGCCACCGCAAGUCGACUGUGAAAUCUCCGGGCUUACCCGGAAAGGUCAGCCGAUACUGCGGGGCUAGAGUGCAGAAGGGGCAACUGGAAUUCUCGGUGUAGCGGUGAAAUGCGUAGAUAUCGAGAGGAACACCUGCGGCGAAGGCGGGUUGCUGGGCUGACACUGACGCUGAUGUGCGAAAGCGUGGGGAGCAAACAGG
rnacentral:rRNA from 1 species